AGUUAUGAGUGUGAGAGGUUUGAAUCCUACAUUUCUCUUUAGUGUUUUUUUUCUCUGUUUUAUUUGUUUUUUCUUUAAAAAUCACAAAAAUAACAUUUUGUAUCAUUUAAUUAUUAAUUUUUGUAUUUGUUAUUAAUGUAUUUUUUAAAAUAUUAUUUUUCCUUAAAAUUAUCAUUUUAUGCAUAAAAUCUUAAAAAAAUAAUUUUAAAAAAAUCAAAAUCUUUUAUCAUUAUUAGAUUAUUAGAUUAAUUUCAUUUAUUUAAAAUAAUUUUUUUAUCUAAAUUCACACAGUCAUGAAUCCAUCCAAAAUCAUUAGCUUGGACUCUAAGAAA
rnacentral:lncRNA from 1 species